GCGUGAGUGAUGAAGGCCCUAGGGUUGUAAAGCUCUUUCAGUCGUGAAGAUAAUGACAUUAGCGACAGAAGAAGCCCCGGCUAACUUCGUGCCAGCAGCCGCGGUAAUACGAAGGGGGCUAGCGUUGUUCGGAAUCACUGGGCGUAAAGCGCACGUAGGUGGGCAUUUAAGUCAGGGGUGAAAUCCCGGGGCUCAACCCCGGAACUGCCUUUGAUACUGGAUGCCUAGAGGCCGAGAGAGGUGAGUGGAACUCCGAGUGUAGAGGUGAAAUUCGU
rnacentral:rRNA from 1 species